GUGAGGAAUUUUCCGCAAUGGGCGAAAGCCUGACGGAGCAAUGCCGCGUGAAGGAUGAAGGCCUAUGGGUUGUAAACUUCUUUUCUCAGAAAAGAAUUAUGACGGUAUCUGAGGAAUAAGCAUCGGCUAACUGUGUGCCAGCAGCCGCGGUAAGACAGAGGAUGCAAGCGUUAUCCGGAAUGCUUGGGCGUAAAGCGUCUGUAGGUUGUUUAACAAGUUUUUUGUCAAAGAUUAGGGCUUAACCCUAGAUAGGCAGAAUAAACUUUUAAGCUAGAGGUUGGUAGAGGCAGAGGGAAUUCCCGGUGGAGCGGUGAAAUGCGGAGAGAUCGGGAGGAACACCAAAGGCGAAGGCACUCUGCUGGGCCAAUACUAACACUGAGAGACGAAAGCGAGGGGAGCAAAUGGGAUUAGAAACCCCAGUAGUCC
rnacentral:rRNA from 1 species